AAGUCGUAACAAGGUCUCCGUAGGGUGAGUUUUGAACGACUUCUAACUAAUAUUGAAUGAAUGCUAACAGAUUUCCAGUGAACCUGCGGAGGGAUCAUUACUGAGUGAGGGUCUCUGACCCGACCUCCAACCCUUUGUGAUUUAAACCUCUGUUGCCUCGGGGGCGACCCGGGCCCGCGUCUAGGGCCCCGACGGACCAUUUCAAAACACUGCAUCUUUGCGUCGGAUUGAAUAAAGUAAAUGAUUAAAACUUUCAACAACGGAUCUCUUGGUUCUGGCAUCGAUGAAGAACGCAGCGAAAUGCGAUAAGUAAUGUGAAUUGCAGAAUUCAGUGAAUCAUCGAGUUUUUGAACGCACACUGCGCCCGCCAGUACUCUGGCGGGCAUGCCUGUUCGAGCGUCAUUUCAACCCUCAGGCCCCGGGCCUGGCGUUGGGGAUCGACCACCGCCGCCGUCAGCGCGGCAGGUCGUCCCUAAACACAGUGGCGGUCACGCUGCGGCAUCCCCUGCGUAGUAGCACAACUCGCACCGGAUCGCGGCGCGGCCACGCCGUAAAACAACCCAAUUCUGAAGUGUUGACCUCGGAUCAGGUAGGGAUACCCGCUGAACUUAA
rnacentral:rRNA from 1 species